rnacentral:rRNA from 1 species
UACCAGCACCCCGAGUGGUCGGGACGAUUAUUGGGCCUAAAGCAUCCGUAGCCGGCCUUACAAGUCCUCCGUUAAAUCCAGCUGCUUAACAGAUGGGCUGCGGAGGAUACUAUAAGACUAGGAGGCAGGAGAGGCAAGCGGUACUCAGUGGGUAGGGGUAAAAUCCGUUGAUCCAUGAAGACCACCAGUGGCGAAAGGCGGCUUGCCAGAAU